UACGGAGGAUCCAAGCGUUAUCCGGAAUCAUUGGGUUUAAAGGGUCCGUAGGCGGCCUAGUAAGUCAGUGGUGAAAUCUCCCCGCUCAACGGGGAAACUGCCAUUGAUACUGCUGGGCUUGAAUUAUUGGGAAGUAACUAGAAUAUGUAGUGUAGCGGUGAAAUGCUUAGAGAUUACAUGGAAUACCGAUUGCGAAGGCAGGUUACUACCAAUUGAUCGACGCUGAUGGACGAAAGCGUGGGUAGCGAACAGG
rnacentral:rRNA from 1 species